UACGUAGGGGGGCGAGCGUUGUCCGGAUUUAUUGGGCGUAAAGAGCGUGUAGGCGGCCAGGUAGGUCUGCUGUGAAAACUCGAGGCUCAACCUCGAGAUGUCGGCGGAAACCAUCUGGCUAGAGUCCGGAAGAGGAGAGUGGAAUUCCUGGUGUAGCGGUGAAAUGCGCAGAUAUCAGGAAGAACACCCGUGGCGAAGGCGGCUCUCUGGGACGGUACUGACGCUGAGACGCGAAAGCGUGGGGAGCGAACAGG
rnacentral:rRNA from 1 species